rnacentral:misc_RNA from 1 species
AGAGGCUAUGGCUUUCAGAGGGGUAAGCCUUUCCUUCUCUAGAUGUCUACUCUGUUAAGAUCUGACUCUGCUGCUUUUUUAUAUAAAUAAUUUUGUUAAGUCUCUCUGCGUUUUCAUGUUGAGUCUGAUCUGUUAGUUCUUUGUUGCAGUGUUUGUCAUCAGUAAGUAAUUACUUAAAGUUUUUAUUUAAUUACUUUAGAGAAAAUACUUGUUUGCUUGAUCGGUGUUUUACCCCUCCCUCUUAUUUUUUCAGUUACUUAUUUGUUAAUUUACAUGCUGGAUUUGUUGAUAUUUGGAGUCAUGAUUGAAGAGAAAAUCAGAUUUUCCUUUUUUAUUUUGGUAAAAUUAUUUUAUUUUGUAUGUGGUUGAAUUGUAAUUGAGAACUUGCAAUUUUAGUAAUUGAUCUGUCCAGUGUACUGGAUGGAUAGAAUUGUAUGCUGGUUUAGCGAUGCAAAUUAAUUAUAACUUUACCCUUGGAAAUAGCUCUCUGUCUUCGUAAUUUACAUGUAUGCUCUAUGGAUUGUAACUGGAAUAACGAAUUCCGAUAUCCACAGUUUGGUUGGUUCUUGAAAUGAUGUAGUUAGGAUUUCAUGCACAUACAAUCUAAGAAAUGCAACGAAGGAAGGAAAUUUCUACAAUACUCCCGGAGCACAUAAUUUAGUGUGCCCUCUUUGAUAAAAAUAUGGAUCCUCCUUGCAAUGAAAACAAAAUAAUUCUUUUUGGUAAAUCUAUUCCACUAGAUUUGCCAAGAAAACUAUGCCAUUUCUUUUAAUCACUUAAAAAUCAAGUCAAGUAUGGCGGGCUAUCCUUUAUUAUUGUAUUUAGUUUUAUGUUAUUUUACUUCUGAUGGAAUAUUUUGCAGUUUAUUUGAUUUUUGCUGGAUUUGUCACAUUUUUUGCGCCUUGCCUCACUUAGGCAUGUGCCUAUGCCUUGUGCCGAGGCGUCAGGACUCCUUGGCGCCUUGCUCCUUUAAUAACUAUGUCAGAGACCCAAGUCUAAGGAUGUAAAGUGAUCAAAUAAAUCUAUGGGGACUCAAUAACAAAAAAAGUUUGGUAUCCUAAAGAUGCGUUUUGCCUAAAUUCUUCUUAUGAAGAGAAUUCCUUUAUAGUGGUAGAGCUUGGAUUACUGUGCUUAUAUCCAUGUAUGUUUGUAUGUGAAAUCAUUAGCAAUUUGUGCAUUGUUGUUUGUUUUUUGAAAAACAAAUAUCGUAAUGGAGGAAAUCAUGAUUUUACACCAAUGACUCAGCAAAUCCUCCAUGCUGAAAAGCAGGGAGUGGAAAUAAAAGUCUCUGGAGCUGGUCUGGUCAGUGGAUUGGUUAGUGAAUGUAUUAACAGUAUUUUUUUGUUCUUGCUAGGCAAAUGCUUCUUCUGGCAUGGGUGUUUCUGAC